GUCAGAAACCCCAUGCCUAAAGAUAGGGUCUUAAAAAACCUUAAUCUGACCAGACUAAGUACCUUGCGUACUACGUUAGAGGUAAGAGUCUAAAGCUAGGGACUUCCUACGAAGAUAUGUACUUGUACCCUUAGGGAUCUUGCUACAACUGUGCUGUAGGACAUCCCGUGCAGGCUAAACAAAGCUCAUACGUGUCAACAAGUAUUUUAUGGUUUGCCGUCGGGCA
rnacentral:sRNA from 1 species